rnacentral:lncRNA from 1 species
GAAGCAGAAAAUCUAUCACGUAAAAGAAAGUGGCUCAAGAAUACUACUACUACUGUGUAGCCUAUGCAGUUGCUUACACAGUAGUAUAUCUCACACAUAUCCAAAUUUCACAAUCAUGGUAAUCAACGCUACUAUCUCAUUAAGGGACUCAAAAAUUGUACAUUGAAGUUCUCAAUCUUCCACAUUGCAAAUAUUCCCCAGAAAAAAAUUAAUUCAACAUGCAUUCAACUUAGCGCCAUUGACGGAUUAUAGUCAAUUUGAACCUUUAGUAAUGUUCAGACGUUCUAGACGAAUGUCACUCCCAGAGCGGUGCUCAAGAAAAACCAACGAGUUUUUCCACUGGCUGGAGGAUAUGUGUACAUGGAAUGGCAAAUGAGACUGCAUCUUGAAUAGGAAAGCAUUUGAAAUAAUUAUUAGUAUUUCUUGUGAUGUGAUAUAUGUAAGAUUAAAAAAUAUAUUUGCGAUCUAAAAUAUUAUUUAGAAAAAUUAUUAUAUCCAACCACAGUAGAUAAUGCCACGGUCCAAAUUUUACAUCCACAAACCGAACUGCUCCCGUUUUUCCGAUUUUGUUUGGUCCCAUUCUUAUUGAACAUAAACUAUAAAAAUUAAGCAGUAGCUAAAACAGGAGGCGAAUUUGAAUUUUUUUUUUUUUAUUUAAAGUUUAGCUUGAGUCUCUCUUCUUUUCUGAGUUUGUUAAGGUUUUAUCAGUUUGGAGUAUUUCCUUGCAACAGUUCAAUAAAAUAUGCAUUUGGUAUAGGGAUUAAUUUUCUCUGCAAAACGUGUACUAAAAUCAGAUUUCUUUUUUUUUUUUUUUUAAAUGGAUUUGUCCGUGUGUUUUAGAGAUGGUAAAAUCCCUUAAGCUUGCCCGUGCUUCCCCUGCUUUUGACUGAGGCAACAGAAGAUACGCUCUCAAGUCUCAACCAGGCUCUAAAAGAUUUGAGCUUUAUUCUGGUGGCUCCUUGUCCUUGGGGCUUGGUGGGACGCUGGCUUUUGGCUUCUCUUAGGGAUAGGAGGAAGCAGUUUUCAUCUAGUGCUAUGUGACCGCAAGCUAAUCACAGAAAUUUGGAAGCAGAUCAAGAAAUAGGAUAACCAAGAGCAAGGAGAUGGGGAUUUGAAAGA